UUGGUCAAAUUAAUUUACACACAUGUAUACAUUGGCAAAAGUAGCUGUUACAGCAGAUAGGACCAGCAAGCAUGAAUAAACACAUUAGUUACAUGUAAUUACAAUGCACAAAAUGAUAAAGCUACGCAAUAUAUAUUUACAUAAAUAUUGUGUUUAUUGACGCUUGCCGGUCCUAUAAAUGAACAAUGGACUGACAAAGCGACGACAGAAAUAUGUUUCUGUGGGUCCUAUUUCUGUUUCUCUUUUUUAUUAAAAAAUUAAAAUAUUAAAAUAACAAAGUUCACGGGCUCUUUCCUUUCUCCCUCGUUACACUCUUUCUCUCGCGUGUCCUAGCUGCCAGCUGCAGCCAUAAGCUCCACCGCAGCAGCUGUUUUCUCCCGUCUCCACGCAGUUGCCUCAUUCCCAACAGUACAACAACAAGUCUUUUUGCUAUCAUACCCUCACAUACACAACUGUCUCAUCCAAUGAAUCGAUCUCAUUCAAGGCGAUCAAGCUUCACUCCAACUUCCAAAAGCUUUGAUCUAGCAAUAAUGUCAUCAUUGAGCCUUUGUCGUUGUUGUUCUCAGCUUUUGUUCUGUACUUUGCCAUCUAUCUCUUCCAUCAACUUUGCAGCCUCUAAAUUGUUCUAGUUUGUUUAUCAAAUUUAUUACCCACUUUUGCCAUAAAAAAAAUUUAGAGUUUGUAACUUUGAUUAAAAAUUCCCAUGCUUGUCAAUUAAAGUGAAGCAUUUUGUUUGUAAUUUUUGUAGUAUUUAAAGCAACUAUAUUGUUUAAUUAAUUAUUUUUCUUGCUCUACCCGUGUUUUGUUUUAAUUUGCUUCUUUGUGUUUCAAUCCUCAGCAGGAUACUUCUGAGUGGGCUGAAAGCAAAAGCACACAACUUAGUAAAUAAAUUAAUUUCGUUCAAAGCACCAAGUAAUACAAUCCAAAAAAAAAAGCACUACCGCAUUCUUCAUUCUUUAAAAAAAAAACAAAUACAAAGUUAUUUUGUGAAAUCACUUCUAAACAUUACUGCGAUUAUGUUGUGAGAAAAGAGACUGCUACAGUGGAGCUUGUUGCAGCGGCUGGCAGCUUGGAGGUGAGAGAGAAAGAGUUGUGAUGAGGGAGAAAUGAAAGAGCCAAACGCGUGAAGGUGGCUGGUGGGUGCUUUUGUUGCGUGUGUGAAAUCGUAAGAGACAUUUCAUACUUUAUUUCGUGAGAACAUCGUUUUUCUUUUUUAAACUUAUUUUAUUAUUUAUUGUCAACCCCACAAAAAAAUUAGAAAAAGGAACGCGUGAAAUUAGCUGCCGUUUCUAUCGUCCCUUUGUCUUCGUCCCUUUGUCUUCCAUUUGUUAGUUUAUCAUUUUCCUUGUUGGAAAAGAUUAACCUCAAAAAAAAAAAAAUGUUAAAAAAUAGCAAGCGGAAUAUUUUCUAGCUUGGUCAAUAAGAUAGAAAGUUCACUGAUAAGAAUGUGCUAUGAAAGAAUAUGAGAUCUAGCUUUAUUGAGUUAACGUCAUUGGUUAGGAAACUUUGUCACAUGGUUUAAAAAUGGAUUAUGAAUACUAAUUUCAAUAUGUC
rnacentral:lncRNA from 1 species